GCGACACCCCGCCCGCCGCCAGAAGGCGACUACGCCACGGUCUUCUCGGUUAUCACCACCGGCCUCAGGGAACGGGCCGAAGCCAGUGAAAGACACUUCACAUGCCUGUACCUCUCUUCACCCUGGGAAUGUCACAGCUUCUGAGAACAGAAAGGUUUUCCCACCACCCUCUUCUGUGGAGGGUAAAUCUCCAUCAUAAAGCAUUUUCUAAGCAGCUGACCAGGACAGGGAUGAGAAUGUGUUUCAGAGCUUUUUCCCUGGUUCCUGAAAGUGCAAAAUAAGCCUGGUGGAAGCAGCCAGACCCUGAAGGACAAGUGGAUACAUCUGGCCUGACCCUUCUGCAGCUGACGAAGGGUGGCCAAGGACUGAAAUACACUGUUUGUAUUUAAGACCAUUUUGACAUAUUAUAAUUCAGCAAAACUCUUCUGGAAAAAACUCAGUCUGGGCAUAAUCCUUGACAGACCCUCAGGAGAUUGAAGUACCUGGGGACACAUGGGACUUGUCUGCUGCCACAGCAAGUGGCAGGGAGGGUUAGCCAUGGCAGGACUGAGUACAGAAAGCAGCUUUUGGAGGUGCUCCCAGGUGGUACAGCAUGGAUAUUCUCUCAGAUGGGAGUGCUUGGAUCCAAUUUACAGCUGGCAGACUUGGAAGAAAUCAAAUAAAACUUCUUUUGUAAUGUUACAGUGAAGUAAGAGGAGUUCUCUUAAAAGGCAAUGAGAAAAGAAACCCUAGGAAGAGAAAGAUAGGAUUGAAUAAGAUGCCAUUCAUUUCUUGCCAUCUGAGAAUAAAAUUUGUGAGGAAAUACUGUCCUUAUCCUUAUAAAUGGCCAAUAUCUUCUCAAACCCAGCAAAGCGGAGAGCAGGCAAGGUUUAUGGUUCACAUUAGCAGAUUCUAGUGACAUGAGUUUACAAUAAUGGUCUAAUAGUUCACUGUAACAGUGACUCAUGGCUUAUUACUGUGGUGAUAGGAAUGCAAAGAGAUCUCAUUUAAAAAAUAUAUAUUUGGAUAGUUCACAUCCUUUCCUCCCUACUCAUGAAUUCCUGUGCCAUUGACUGCUAGCUGCUAAAAAUAGGAUCCUUUUUGUGUAUCUAAAGGAAAACCUAGAAUCAGAGAGACAGUGGGAGGGGACCAAGGUCCUUCCACACAAGGCCUUCAGAUAAUAUUUGUACUGAAAUCCCUCUGAGAGUGCAGGAAUGUUUUUAAAAGAUGGGAACAAUUUCAGAAGGUAUCUGGAAAGAAGAAGGAGAGGAAUUAAUGAAUCACAGCAGUUCCCAGCUUUGGUAUUUUGCACCAUAGGGGUGGGAGGUACAGGACCAAGCUGCAGCUUUGUCUUGGAGAAGCUGUUCUACUUCAGCAGCAGGAAACUCCAGGGAACAGCCCAGGAACAGCCCUGUGGGCUGAUGCAGAGCCACAAGAGGAGACUCACUAGUAGUCAUUUGAAGCUGUACAAGUCCCUUAAGGACAGCAGCAGGAAAGAGGAUCUGGGAAGACAUGAGGAAGGUAUCUGCAAACAAAAUGGAUUAUCACCACCACCCCUUCAAAAAAGAAAAAAACCCACGUGGCACCUCAGAAACAAACUGCUGAAGUGUGAAAUCAUGCAGCAGGGAAAGCUGUCACAGAGAAUCAGAAAUUUAUUUAAUAGACACAAAUUGACUGCUGCAUGAUUUGUACAGAUUGCUGCUUGCUGAGAGGGAGAGAGAUCCACAGCUCUGGAGAGCUGAGCGCAGGCAAUGCCUGGCAAAAGGUGUGGAAAGAAAAAAAUUUGUCGUUGGUAAUUGUACGUGUACUGAAUGCUUCCUCUUCGGUAGGGAACAAUUAAAAUCGAUGGCAGGAUACAAGGUAACAAAAGGAAAUGACUGAUCAAUAUGCAUGUCUUGGAGCUGAAGACAAGCCCGUCUGCCAAGAGCAGCAUGCUGAUGAGGCGAGAUUCUGAGAGGGAAGCUGAAAAGCUUCCACUCCUGAUGCUCAAAAACACAACACAGCUGAGCAGAUGCCAGGUGCAGUGCUAGAAGAGAGGUGAGGGCACCACGGAGUCUAGAGAAUAACUGUUAGGAAAAGCAGGGAAUAUUAAUUUUAAGACUAAAUAGAUUUAAAGUAAAAAAUGUGAUGCUUCUCUAUCUUUCUAAAGAUCUCAAAAGCCCUUUACUGAUAUUGAAAAAUUAUGGUCUUUACAUACCUGUGCAAGGUUUUAGAGAUACUGAGACAGUGAUAUUUUAAGGCCAAUGUCCAGUUUAUUCCUUGGCUCAAAGCACUUGAAAUCUCAUUUCCCUGUAUAUUUCACUGGGUGGGUCUCUGUCAAGUGCUACCAAAAAUCAAACACUAAAUCUUUCAUGAUUCAGUAGUUUUAAAUUUGUCACCCAGAUUUCUGAAUACUUUUGAAAAUGUUGCUGUAAAGCCAACUGGAGGCUCUACCAUGGCCCCAGUGGGACAGGGAAGAGCACAUGGGAACUCCAGGUUUGCUUUCCCAGUUUUCCCCCUCCUGAGUUAUGGUAUUUGUUUCUGAGGCACCAGCCUCAGAAAUGGCACAUGAGCAGUUAAACACCUCAGGUCUUGCAGCUCAUACAUCUCAUUCUGCUGAUACAGACAGAAGGUGGGCACAGCUGAAGAUCAGAGCCAGAAAAAUGCUGCAAAAACUUUGUGAAAUUUCACUUCAUGGUAACCCCACAUUUGCCUGAACAUAUUGCCCAUGAAUUCCUGACUAGCAUCCUAAACAGUAGAUAAAGACCUAUUUUAUCACCUCAUGACUUUGAUUUCAUUAAGAAACCACAGAAGAUUGGUAGCAUUGAGCCUCCAUGUUCUCACUGGGCUUGAAGCAAGGGUUCUCCUCGUGGUCCUGCAUCAUAUCACCCACUGCCUGCUCUGCAAAGCCCUCCUGCUCUCUUGGCACAGGUGAAUAAGCAGCCACUCCCCUGAGGAGCCAGCAGGACCGAGUGCAUCUUUCCCUGGAGGCUGGCACCCAACCAGACACUGCUUUACUCUUCCCUUGUGGGAAUGCAUGGAAGGACUGAGAGCAAAAUCUGUCUGGUCAGGGAUGGUUUGGACUGUUGAGAAAACACUGGCAUUUUCCUCCCAGUGCCUCUGUGCUCCCAGCCAUCUGCCACCUGCCUCCUCACUGGGGGUUCUCUGUAUUUGCUGGGAAGAGGAGGCUUGGAAGCACAGGAUGGAACAGCUGUGCUGUCCUUGGGCUCAGCUGGACACACUGCACAUUAUCCUGCUCUCCAAGGCAGUGGGAAAGUGUGUGGAAACAGGAGGAAAAAGUUCCAAGCAACCUUUUAUAGAAAGCCAUAGUUAAGAUACGUUCAUUUCAUCCUUCCAGUCCAGCCCUGCCAAAACCUACCCUAAGCAAGACUAGGAAUUGGGAAAAUGGGAAUCAAAACCCCUCCACUGGCUGUGAGGCAGGAGAAACUCCACGAGCAGUUGAUGCAGCCUUCAUGCUCUGAAGUGCAGGGAUGCAUCCCCUGCCUUUGUGGAAACAAUCUACCCAGCUGAGAUGGAAGGAUCAGGAUGGGCAAGGACAGCCCCAACCUCUGCCAUGGCAUGAGCAGCUUUAUAAUGGGAACAGGAUGAGGGAAAGGCACUGCUAAGCUGGGUUCUGCUGCAGAACAGAAAAUGCAUUGUUAGUAAAUCAGACUUUGGAACUGCUUAAGACUUAAACACAGCUUCAAUUAAUUAACCUUUCACAGCACAACACAGCCCCAGAGUGAGUACAACACUAUUCAGUCCCCUGACUGCAGAUUUUGUUGCAAAAUAAACAAGUUUUUCCAGGGCUGGGCUUGAUAGUGCUGAUCAAGAGGUUGGGUUGGGUUCAAAGUCAUCUCGAAGUCCUAGUGGGGAUACGAAAAUGGUUGUAACACCUAGAGAAAAUUACCUUUAGCAAAAUAUUUGUACACAGCACAUGUUGUAAAGCCCCAAAUGGUGUGACAGAGGUGCUCUUUAAUAAAUUCUAUGAGCGUGUUUCCCAGCA